AUCGCUUCUCAGCCUUUUGGCUAAGAUCAAGUGUAGUAUCUGUUCUUAUCAGUCAAAUACCUGAUACGUCCUCUAUCUGAGGACAAUAUAUUAAAUGGAUUUUUGGAAUUAGGAAAUGAAAUAGGAAUUUGCUCUGUAAUUUUUUUAAAAAGAAGAAGAAGAAGAAGGCAUCCCACCCAGU
rnacentral:snRNA from 1 species